AAGUAACUCCGAGUCCUGCCACGGAUGGCGGUGAUAGGGGUAACGGCUGGUUGGCACAGCCAUCGAAGUUCCUGUUUGACAAGGAAACUGGUGCAUUCGCACCUCAAGAACAGGUGACGUCGUAAACCACAAUAUCCCAACGUGGGAAUCCUCGCGCUUCAGCGCGGGGA
rnacentral:ncRNA from 1 species